rnacentral:tmRNA from 1 species
GGGGGUGACAGGCUUCGACGUGGGAGGCUGGUCACAGACUGCAAGCCGAGGCGCUCUACCCUCGUUAAUCCAGAGCAAACCAACAAGUGCCAACCAAAGCACUCCUCGUCUCGCUAUGGCUGCGUAAGUAGCCUAGCAGACACCCGAUACCCUGCGGGGUAUCCGUCUGCCCCAACCGUCUCCUGUCCGGGUGGCAAGCAGGCGUCACAAACGACAGGGUGCCCUGCGCCGACGCCGGUACCGCGCAGCUAAGACUCACCGGCUAGUGCGUGGCUUGGCCCCCGCCGGCUUGGGUUGCCCCGCGCGAAACCAAAAAGCUGGCUACGCUUGUAGACGUUUGUGCUCGAAUCUUGCGGACGGGGGUUCGAUUCCCCCCACCUCCACCU